GGCCUGCUAGGUCAGUCGGUUAGAGCGUCGUGCUAAUAACGGGAAGGUCGUAGGUUCGAUCCCUGCGCAGGCCA
rnacentral:tRNA from 1 species